rnacentral:rRNA from 1 species
UGCAGUCGAGCGAACGGACGAGAAGCUUGCUUCUCUGAUGUUAGCGGCGGACGGGUGAGUAACACGUGGAUAACCUACCUAUAAGACUGGGAUAACUUCGGGAAACCGGAGCUAAUACCGGAUAAUAUUUUGAACCGCAGGUUCAAAAGUGAAAGACGGUCUUGCUGUCACUUAUAGAUGGAUCCGCGCUGCAUUAGCUAGUUGGUAAGGUAACGGCUUACCAAGGCAACGAUGCAUAGCCGACCUGAGAGGGUGAUCGGCCACACUGGAACUGAGACACGGUCCAGACUCCUACGGGAGGCAGCAGUAGGGAAUCUUCCGCAAUGGGCGAAAGCCUGACGGAGCAACGCCGCGUGAGUGAUGAAGGUCUUCGGAUCGUAAAACUCUGUUAUUAGGGAAGAACAUAUGUGUAAGUAACUGUGCACAUCUUGACGGUACCUAAUCAGAAAGCCACGGCUAACUACGUGCCAGCAGCCGCGGUAAUACGUAGGUGGCAAGCGUUAUCCGGAAUUAUUGGGCGUAAAGCGCGCGUAGGCGGUUUUUUAAGUCUGAUGUGAAAGCCCACGGCUCAACCGUGGAGGGUCAUUGGAAACUGGAAAACUUGAGUGCAGAAGAGGAAAGUGGAAUUCCAUGUGUAGCGGUGAAAUGCGCAGAGAUAUGGAGGAACACCAGUGGCGAAGGCGACUUUCUGGUCUGUAACUGACGCUGAUGUGCGAAAGCGUGGGGAUCAAACAGGAUUAGAUACCCUGGUAGUCCACGCCGUAACGAUGAGUGCUAAGUGUUAGGGGG